rnacentral:rRNA from 1 species
UACAGAGGUCUCAAGCGUUGUUCGGAUUCAUUGGGCGUAAAGGGUGCGUAGGUGGCUAGGUAAGUCGGGUGUGAAAUCCCGGGGCUCAACCCUGGAACUGCACUCGAUACUGCCAUGCUCGAGUACUGGAGAGGAGACUGGAAUUUACGGUGUAGCAGUGAAAUGCGUAGAUAUCUGGAGGAACACCGGCGGCGAAGGCGAGUCCCUGGACAAUUCCUGACGCUGAGGCACGAAAGCUAGGGGAGCAAACAGG